GACGUAGGGCGCGAGCGUUGUCCGGAUUUAUUGGGCGUAAAGAGCUCGUAGGCGGCUCGUUGCGUCGGCUGUGAAAACCCGCAGCUCAACUGUGGGCUUGCAGCUGAUACGGGCGGGCUUGGAUUCGGUAGGGGAGACUGGAAUUCCUGGUGUAGCGGUGGAAUGCGCAGAUAUCAGGAGGAACACCGGUGGCGAAGGCGGGUCUCUGGGCAGUAACUGACGCUGAGGAGCGAAAGCGUGGGGAGCGAACAGG
rnacentral:rRNA from 1 species